rnacentral:tRNA from 1 species
GGAGCCAUGGCAGAGUGGUAAUGCAGCUGACUCGAAAUCCGUCGAACCGUUUAUAACGGCGCAAGGGUUCAAAUCCCUUUGACUCCU